CGCAAGGGUUUCACUUAGUCGAACUACUUGAUCUUAUCCGAGCGGAAGGCGGCCGCGUUGCUCCCCUCCCCUCCCCUCCGCCGCGGCCCGAAGCGGAGCGAGAGCUCUCCACGAGCUCGUUGCCCUCGCGGUGAUCGUUCUCCGCGGGCUUUCGGUAGCGUCUCGCUGGUACCCUGCUCGCGCCGUCGUGCCCCGUCGCGAGGGGAGGCGCGGCUCGCCCCGCGAUGACGACUGCCCGCGGUCGGAGCACCCCUUUAGGGCGCGCGAUGACGCACACGCGGGCUCCCCCCUCUCCAACAACAACAACAACAACAAAAAGAAAAAUCUUCAACUCGUUUUCUUUUUUCUUUUUCAGAGAAAAAUUAAUGCACUUUUUUUUCCCCAAACAUUUUCACUUUCCGAUCCCUUUCAACUUCGUUUUCUUUUAAGUGAUUUUAGCUCCGGUUUUGAUUUUUCUCUAGAUCGUGUUUUCUUUCUUUUAAAAUUGGAGGGGCUUGAGCCGAUUUGAUCGAUACCUAGCGAAGAUUUUGUCAUCGUACCGGAUUAUCGAUUCAUUUGUUUAUUUUGUGAAAGAGCGUAAAUUAGAUGACUUGAACUUGAAAACUUCUAACAGUAAUGGAUUUGUUUUUUACUGGCCAAACAUUUGAUUCUGAUGGUGAUUAUUAUAGAUUCUGAUAGCUGACGCAGGUGCAGAUGGAGGUCUGACGAUUGUUGAUCAUGUGUUGUGGAGCGAUUCGAUGUGGUUUAGACGGGCCCAAAGGUAUAUUGGUGUCUUGGAUAUGUUGGUUCUACUAGAAUUGUAUGUUAAUGAUGGAAAAACAUAUGAUACAUUGUUGCAAGUUAUACUUGGCAUUCAGGUAUCCAAUGCAAAAGAAACUUCUCUAAAACGACCUAUAGGUGGAAGAUGUUGCAUUACCAAUGUGAGAUGGAUCCAGAAAAGGGAGGUUCCGGUUAUAAUUCAGAAACGGUUUGUGUAUAUAUUUCACAAAAAUGUGAAAUCAAAGUAGGGGAUAAAGUAACCGGAAGACAUGGGAAUAAUGGUAGCAUUUCAAAAAUUGUGCCAAGACAAGGUAUGCUAUAUUUGCUAGAUGGGAGACCUGUUAAUAUGGUCUUCAACCUAUUAGGAGUACAAGCGUAUGUACAAUGCAUCAUGCUUCCUGGUUCUAGAGAUUUAUGAAAGAAGUAUGCAUAAAACUUGUACGACAGACCCAUAUGUCAAUCAAUUCAUCUGGGUUCUACUAUUGAUCAACUAAAUUACCAAUGAGCCUAUAACUGCUAAAGCACUUCCAUGGUUCCACAAUGGUUUCAGAAGUGAACUACUUGAUGUUAUCUGGACAGUAGGUGGCCACCGUUCAUAAUAGAAUGGAAGGUCUUACACUAAUUCUUCUCCUGGUUGCAUUUCCUCUGUUUUUGGUAGCAUCUUGCUGCUUCAUUGUGCCGCGCCUCAUGCUGGUGUUUCUUCCUAUAGACAGCACACACCACUAUGACAGCUCCCUCCAUCAACUGGAGUAGGUAUUUUGUAAUUCUCACAUGGGCUCCCACACCCAUCUCCUCUUUCUGUCCUCUCAAUCUUGUUAGUCUAAUUUUUGAAAUGGAUUCAAUUUUCCAAUCACCUUUACUGUGAGAAAUUUUCUUUUGUGCAUUGUACCUAUCAAAUUGUAGCAUUUUAAGCAUUUUCUGCCUUGGGCUUGCAGAAAACUCUUACACCAAACUCUGGGCCAACGCUUCAAUCUCUUGGGCAAGUUUCCUCUGCGUAGAGCUCCAAUUAGAUUAUUAUGAAGCUAAUCGUACUCUACUAUCUUUUACGACCAUUUGUGGUUGAAAGUCAUCAAGGUUCCAUAUUGUGUUUUAACCAACCAAACCAGUUCUAUAUAGGUGAGUGGAACCAAUUACCACCAGAGGCGGAAGAUUGUCAGGUAAUUAGGUUUCUUAUGCUAUGAAUUAUUGGCCUUUGGUAGGAGCUGAUGUCAGAACUUAAACGGGCCAGCUUUGAACCCAAUUACCUGAAUGCAAAUUUAUAAAAGGCUCUGGUAUUUGAACCAGGUGCAGAAUAUUGAAAAAAAAUGUUGCUGAAUAUGUGGUCGAAGAGGAGAUGUGGUGAUCAUUCGUAGAUCAUCACGAUAGAUCUGUCUCCUUUUUUUAUCUUAUUAUUUAUCCUUGAGUUCAUUGAUAGACUUGCUCAUUUUCUUGUCAAUUCUUGUGCAGGAGAACGUAAUCUUCAUUCCGAGUGAAGAAAUCUAGGCAUGUGGAAAACAUUGGAUAAUUAGCUGUACCUCAAUUACUGGUUUCUUUUGCUUUAAAUUUGGUUCUUGUCAAUAUUUCUGGCUCUGAGAAGUUCAGGGGAGAGUCUGUACUAAGAGAUGAGUAAUUAUGGCUCAUUCAUGCCCCUCGCUUCUCUCAAGUUCUCUAGCCAAUAUGGGACUAAAUUGUUGUGGCAUUUUCAGUUUCUGCUGAUGGAGAAGAAAUCUAGUGUGGUGUUGUGAUGCAAUUUAGUGGGACACCAACCAACUUUCUGAAUCAUACCCAGUCAUCCAUGUCGACUGGAGUAAGAUUACUGGCGUAAGGUUCUUAUAGUACAUUUAUUUUUGCAAAAAUUUUCAUGAACAAGCACUGGGAUCUAUUGCAUCACGUAAUGCAACUAUCAAGUUGAGGCAGCAUCACUACAAUGUAAAAUUAAGCUACAUCGAUAAAUGAGUGAAAAAGUCAUGCAGGGAUGAGUUAGUUCCAUCGAUAAAUGAUAAUCAGCUACACUACAAUGUAAAAUUAAGCAGUUACAUUUUUCCCCAUAACCAUUUUACCUCAUAUCUAGUAAUAACUA